rnacentral:lncRNA from 1 species
AAGGAAAGAAAGAAGAAAGGGAGGAAGAAAGGAAAACAGGGAGCUUAGAGAAAGGAGGGAGAAAAUAAGAAAAAAAAAGAGAGAGAGAAAGGUAGAACCUGGAUUCUCUUCGUGGCCUGUGCUGAGGACUACAUCAGUCUCCUGCAAUUAUCAUCUACACUGAAAAACAAAGAGGACAGAGGCAAAGCUAGUGGCCCUCACCAUCCCCUGCAAGCUGAUUGCUUCUUACUGCAAGCACUUGAGCAUCUUCCUGAGAGCUUUCUUGGGCAAUGGGAACCAGGCUUGGCCCAUUCACAGGCAGGUGAGAAGUAUGAGGAAAUGGAGAAGGCAUUGUCCAAGGAGCAGUCUUCAACCUUCGCCCCGCAAGUGAGACAACUCUGAAUAAGAUGUGUUCUACACUCUCUUCCAAAGGUCCCCAGUUGGAUGGAGCUCUAGCUGCUCAUGUGAUAAGCUGCCUAUUAAUACACAAAAGAUUGCCUUUCCUCCUUGCUCUGUCUUCCUGCUGCUCUCCUACUAAUGUUUCCUGGGAUUGCCUCCAAAUAAACCACUUGAACUCACA